GUGGCGUUGGCUUUCUUGCUGAUGUUAUUUAUGUGGAAGCUCCAUUUCAGAUCGUUUGAGAUUUGGAGUCCUAAGUAGGGGUUCACUUGUACUUCUUGUAGGAUGUGUUUAUUAAGUGUGUAGAAUUUGUCUGCUUUUUUGUUUAUGGAUAGAACAUAGCACUUUUUGGCGUUGAAUCGCAUUCCCCAUUUGUCGGCCCAGAUUUCUAGUUGUUCCAAAUCUGUUUGUAGCUUUUGUUGGUCUUGGCUAUUUUUAAUUGUUCUGUAUAGUAGGCAGUCGUCAGCAAAUAGUCUUACUGAUGAUGUUACACUGUCUGGUAGGUCAUUGAUGUGGCACAGGAAUAGGAUUGGUCCUAAGACUGUGCCCUGGGGGACCCCAGAGUCGACUGUUGUUUCGCCAGAUGAUUCGCCUUCCACGAUGGUUCUCAUUGAUCUUGCAGUUAGGAAGUUCUUAAGCCAUUUGUGUGUAUUUCCUUUAAUUCCAUACUGAUCUAAUUUAUGUAAUAAUUUGUUGUGUGGUACGGUGUCGAAAGCUUUUGAGAAAUCUAAUAUGCCUACGUCGAUUUGAUGUCCCUUGUCGUGUUCUUGUAAGAAGUCGUUGAUGGUAGUUAUGAGUUGGGUUUCACAUGAGUAUCCUGACCUGAAGCCGUGGUUUAAGUUGGUUAGGAUUUUGUUUUUUUCCAGAUGUUUAAGAAUAUGCCUGCAUACGAUGUGUUCUAGAAUUUUGCUGAUGACAGAUGUUAAGGAUACAGGUCUGUAGUUUUCUGCCAGGUGUUUGUCUCCUUUUUUGAAGAUACUGGAUAUGUUUGCGUCUCUCCAGUCUUUUGGUAGUUCACCUGUGUCUAGCGAGCAUUGCAUUAUGAUUUGUAGGAUGGGUGCUAGUUGUUCAGCACAUUCCUUGAGUAUGCGGUUUGGGAUGUUGUCUGGUCCAGAGGCUUUAUUAGGGUUUGUGUUUUUUAGUAGUUUCUCCAGCCCCUUUUGGUCGAUCGUUAGAGGUGUUAUAUUGAUUUUUGCUCGUAUUCUUGUUGUUGGUAGGUUAGUGUCUGAUGUUAUUGUGAAUACGGACUUGAAUUGUUCUAGUAGGAGUUCGGCUUUUCCUUUACUGUCACUGACAAGAGUAGUUCCCUUUUUUAAUGGUGCUAUUCCUCCUGAGUCCUGGCGUUUGGAUUUAAUGUAUUUCCAAAAUGGCUUUGUGUCAUUGUUGUUUAGGCCCUCAAAGAUGUUUUGGUUGACAUAUUCAUAUUCUGCUUUCCUCAGUUGUUUCUUGCAUUCCUU
rnacentral:lncRNA from 1 species